rnacentral:rRNA from 1 species
UACGUAGGGACCAAGCGUUGUUCGGAUUUACUGGGCGUAAAGGGCGCGUAGGCGGCAAUUCAAGUCAUCUGUGAAAUCUCCGGGCUUAACCCGGAACGGUCAGAUGAUACUGCUUUGCUAGAGUGCGGAAGGGGCAAUCGGAAUUCUUGGUGUAGCGGUGAAAAUGCGUAGAUAUCAGGAGGAACACCGGUGGUGUAGACGGCUUUCUGGACCGUAACUGACGCUGAGACACGAAAGCGUGGGUAGCAAACAGG